rnacentral:misc_RNA from 1 species
AGGUCGUAACAAGGUUUCCGGGUGAACCUGGAAGGAUCAUUAACACGUAUCCAACGUUAACCCCCUGAACCUUCAGUGUGCUCGUACGCUUUGUUAGAAAGUAGCAAUCCCUGGUAAAUCAUCGCCAAACAGUUUUCAUUCAGGGAUCUCUGCAAAGAGUGUGCAUGUUGCGCGAGGUAAGUGGCCUAUCCCCAAGUAGUUAAAGGGGGCGUGAGCCCGGUGACCCGGUCGUCGGCCGUGUCGGCCUCCAACGAUCGUGACUGCGCCAUCCUUACGCAGUUAAUGACACAUCACAAAACCCAUGCAUGAAGACGCGCCUGCGCUAAAACCGCGGCGACCAAAAACCGAACAACUGUUAACAAUGGAUAUCUUGGUUCUC